rnacentral:rRNA from 1 species
GAUGAACGCUGGCGGCGUGCCUAAUACAUGCAAGUCGAGCGAACAGACGAGGAGCUUGCUCCUCUGACGUUAGCGGCGGACGGGUGAGUAACACGUGGAUAACCUACCUGUAAGACUGGGAUAACUUCGGGAAACCGGAGCUAAUACCGGAUAAUAUAUUGAACCGCAUGGUUCAAUAGUGAAAGUCGGCUUUGCUGUCACUUAUAGCUGCAUCUGGGCCGCAUUAGCUAGUUGGUAAGGUAACGGCUUACCAAGGCAGGGAGGCGUGGCCGACGGGAGAGAGGGGUAGGCGACAUGGGAGGUGGACCAGGGUCCAGAGGCCUACGAGAGGCAGCAGUAGGGAACGGUCCGCAGUGGGCGAAAGCAUGACGGAGCAACGCCGAGUGAGUGGUGAAGGUGUUCGGAGCGGAAUACCCGGUUAUUAGGGAUGAACAGAUGUGGAAUUAACUAUGGACGUAGUGACGGUACCGAAUCAGAAAGCAACGGCUAACUACGUG